AACCCGACGAGCAUUUUGGCGCAUGCGCACAUCAACAGAUGUCAACUGACAAGAUAGGCUUUUCACACACACAGGGAAGUCCUAAUUUCCACACAAGCGAAGCUUUUUUAAGCAGCGAAAAAGUUAUGAGGUAGAUAGGUAGGGGGAUAACUACACUAACAUUUGGUUCACCAAGCUGGCACUGCCUCGGUGAAAAUGGACCAGGAGUUUGAGGACAUAGAGUCCGGCGGCCGGUGGCAAAAAUUAUACAUGGAAAUUAGAAGUCAGUCUCAUGAGUGCGCCUACAAGGUGGCAAAGUAUCCAGAGAAUCGCAUACGCAACCGAUACAGAGACGUCAGUCCUUUUGAUCACAGUCGGGUCAAGCUGAAGAAUGCAGACAACGACUACAUCAAUGCCAGCCUGGUUGUCAUGGAAGAAGCUCAGCGACGUUACAUAUUGACUCAGGGUCCCCUCAGGAACACAUGUGGCCAUUUCUGGCUCAUGAUCUGGGAGCAGAAGACCAAAGCCAUCAUCAUGCUCAACAGGGUCAUUGAGAAAGGCUCGGAAAAGUGCGCCCAGUACUGGCCCAUGGCCGAGGACAGAGAGAUGGCCUUUAAGGACACACGCUUUUCAGUGGCGCUGUUGUCAGAAGAUAUAAAGUCUUACUACACUACCAGAGUUCUGGAGCUGCAGAACGUUCAUACGGGCGAGAAAAGAGAAGUACACCACUUUCAUUACACCACGUGGCCCGACUUUGGCGUCCCCGAAUCCCCGGCGUCCUUCCUCAACUUUCUCUUGAAGGUGCGCGAGUCGGGGGCGCUGGGAGCGGAUCACGGGCCGGCCGUGGUGCACUGCAGCGCCGGAAUUGGACGCUCGGGCACCUUUUCGCUAGUGGACACGUGUCUAGUGCUGCAGAUGGACAAGCGGAAAGAGCCGCUAGUGGACAUUAAAAGGAUUCUUUUGGACAUGAGGAAAUACCGCAUGGGUCUCAUCCAGACACCCGACCAGCUGCGCUUCUCCUUCAUGGCCGUCCUGGAAGGCUCCAAGUGCAUCAUGGGAGACCCCAGUGUGCAGAGCCAAUGGCGAGAGUUGUCCCAGGAAGACCAGGCACCCACGACCGACUCCCCUCCCGCCUCCCUGCCUCAGGUCCGCUGUCCCACAGAGCGAUGCAACGGCAGCCAACAGACGGGACCUCCAGAUGAGCAGGAAGACUACAGGCAGGACGGCAAGGUCCAAACAGAGUCCCCCUCCAAGGAGCAGGAGCAGGACAACAGCACAACAACACACAAACGACGUCGAGAUGACAGCUUCUCCAUAACGGGCACAGUCAAAACCAGCCAGAGGACGAAUGACGGCGAGAGGAAGAGGAAAAGCUUGGGCUGCAUUUGCUGCACGUGACCCGGCGCUGACGGGGUGUGUGCAGUAUGUCCGUACCCCCAGCUUUACUGUGACAGCCAACCAGCACACUUUACAGCAGGAACGUGUACAAAUACGUCCCAGAGCUCUCAGCGAAGACAAGCGACUGCUGACUCCGACCCCGCCACCCCCAACCGAGGGUACGUUCAAAGGAAACGCUGGCAGCAAAACAUCAGCAGGCAGGGAACCCCAGCUGGCCUCUGACUUCCACCAGCGUUCCUCGUCCAUCCCAAGUUGUGGUUUCAGCUCACCAGCACGCUUGUCUGCAUUCUCCCUCUCCAAACUGUUUACAGCACACACACGUUCGUUACUCAAACAGAAGACACCAGCGUUAUUAAAAGGUUUGCUUUGCAGCUUUGUCAUACUACAUUUAUACAGACUGAACCAGGAACUAUGCAUUGCCAUUUUAUACAUGUGUAUUUUUCCAGGGGUGGAAAUGUUUCUAUUUUUAUAAGGAUACUUGAAGUUUUUCGCAGCAAUGUGGCAAAAGUCAUUGGCAUGUAUAUGAAGGUUUUUUUUUCACAGAAAAAAAACGAGAGCAUUGUUACACAUUUGAAGACAAUUUGAUGACAUUUUCUUAUAAUGGGAAAAAAGUCAAUGCUAUGAACUUGUCAUAAUAAAACUGGUAUCUAGUUUAUUACACAA